AGCGAACGCUGGCGGCAGGCCUAACACAUGCAAGUCGAACGAACUCUUCGGAGUUAGUGGCGGACGGGUGAGUAACACGUGGGAACGUGCCUUUUGGUUCGGAAUAACUCAGGGAAACUUGUGCUAAUACCGAAUGUGCCCUUCGGGGGAAAGAUUUGUCGCCAUUAGUGCGGCCCGCGUCUGAUUAGCUAGUUGGUGUG
rnacentral:rRNA from 1 species